rnacentral:rRNA from 1 species
GAUGAACGCUAGCGGCAGGCUUAACACAUGCAAGUCGAGGGGUAGAGGUUGCUUGCAACCUUGAGACCGGCGCACGGGUGCGUAACGCGUAUGCAACCUACCUUUUACAGAGGGAUAGCCCAGAGAAAUUUGGAUUAAUACCUCAUAGUAUAUAACCUUCGCAUGUUGGUUAUAUUAAAGUUUCAACGGUAAAAGAUGGGCAUGCGUCCUAUUAGCUAGAUGGUAAGGUAACGGCUUACCAUGGCAACGUGAGGUAGGGGUCCUGAGAGGGAGAUCCCCCACACUGGUACUGAGACACGGACCAGACUCCUACGGGAGGCAGCAGUGAGGAAUAUUGGACAAUGGGCGCAAGCCUGACCCAGCCAUGCCGCGUGCAGGAAGAAGCAUCUAUGGUGUGUAAACUGCUUUUGUACAGGAAGAAACGCCCCGCCGUGUCGGGACUUGACGGUACUGUAAGAAUAAGGAUCGGCUAACUCCGUGCCAGCAGCCGCCGUAACAC